GGGGAAUUUUGGACAAUGGGCGCAAGCCUGAUCCAGCCAUGCCGCGUGCAGGAUGAAGGCCCUCGGGUUGUAAACUGCUUUUGUACGGAACGAAAAGCCUCUUUCUAAUAAAGAGGGGUGAUGACGGUACCGUAAGAAUAAGCACCGGCUAACUACGUGCCAGCAGCCGCGGUAAUACGUAGGGUGCGAGCGUUAAUCGGAAUUACUGGGCGUAAAGCGUGCGCAGGCGGUCUUGCAAGACAGUGGUGAAAUCCCCGGGCUCAACCUGGGAACUGCCAUUGUGACUGCAAGGCUGGAGUACGGCAGAGGGGGAUGGAAUUCCGCGUGUAGCAGUGAAAUGCGUAGAUAUGCGGAGGAACACCGAUGGCGAAGGCAGUCCCCUGGGCCUGUACUGACGCUCAUGCACGAAAGCGUGGGGAGCAAACA
rnacentral:rRNA from 1 species